UUUCUGCUUUGUUUCCUACCUGGCCAACCUCGCAGGAGAUCAAUCACGCUUUGACGCAUUCCUCAUGGUUACUUGAACAAUGUCUGGAUUUUGACAGCUGGCUCAAUGUCCCUGGUUGGCCUCCAUAUGUUCCCGACCUCUCUGCUGGUCAGGAGCUUAUGAUCUGCAGGGAUCAUAACCUAGACUUGGAAUCUAUCUGUUAUAUAAAACUGAUAUAAAACUGUGGAAGACCUACCAAACUGUCUACUUCUUGAAUAAGAUCCUUGAGAAGUCACCACUUCCAGAUGGGGAAACAGGUUUAUCGGGCUCUUUGCAAUGGAUCAGA